rnacentral:miRNA from 1 species
AAGCUGGCGGCUGUUUUGCAUGUUUUGUAGAUCGCUAAUUUUUUAAACAUACUUACAAUAGCGAUCUACAAAACAUGUAAAACAGCCAGCUUUAUAGGU